rnacentral:lncRNA from 1 species
AUCCCAAACAGCAGCUCCCUGGGCUCAUCUCUCCUGCUGUCCCCGUCGGAAAAUCCAUACCCACAACCUUUCCCAGCCUUUCGUCUGCCUCUGGAGAAUCAGGGAAGCCAAUGGGAGCAUUGUUCGCUUGACAACCGUGCUGUCCUUCAGGGUACAGACGCGCGGUGGGCGUCAUUGACCACAGGAGCGUAUGAGAAAGGAAGCCUUAGGUAUUGUGCCUCAUGCCACAGGUUCUGGUGGCCCCUCCCUCGGGAGGCUUGGCUUGGGAUCACUUCUGUUUUGCGGUACUGUGUGUAACCUUGGCAUGCAAUCAGCAGAGAAAAUAUUCAUUAUUGCCUGACUGUCUGCCGAAGACAAUUUCAAUUAUUCUGGCAUUUCAAUGGAUGAAGAAGCCCUUUAGGCUGGCCCCGGAGAUUAGACUUACAGGCUCCGUAAAUUAGGAAAGUUACAAUCAGUAUAUUAUCUGGCAGGCAGCUGUGGGAUACGGCACAGCAGGCAAAGAGAGACAAAUUGCUAUAUUCCGGUCGCGGUUUUGAUAUAUCAAUUUACAAGUUUAACAUACACAUUUGGGAAAGAAUGAUUUUGCAUUUCUUAAAUCACUUUUAACUGCCUGCACUCGAAGUUUCUGAACCUGUAACUUGAAUAGCCGGCUUGCCUUGCUGACGUUUUGUUUUAAAGCCCAAUUUCAGCUCGGAAAAAAAUAUUGCUGAGGACAGAGCUUGGGAAUUAAUCUUUCCUAAAGUUAUUCAAAUAAUAUAAUAUAUGGCAGUUAAGCGGAAUAUUCCAUUUGCAGAAAUGUGAAUGAUGUCCCACAUAAAGGCUUUUUCUUUAAUGGGAUGUUUUCCUGUCUUUUCUCCACCCCCACCCCCCCGCCCAAGAAUCUCUGUUGUGAUUAUUACAUCGACAUAUUUAAUAUAUAUUAUUUCACCAUGCCUGUCUGAUAACGAUACAUCUGAAAAUAAAAAUAGCGAGCAUAAUAACCUAUCACGACACCUUACAAACGGUUGCAUAAGUGAGGUCUAUUGGUAAAGAAGUUUUUCACGACUCUUCAAGUUGUUUCGGAACAUUUUUGAUAUCUUAGCACUCACCUAUCAUUUGCACAAUAGAUUUGCUUUUCACCUUCGUAAAAUCCCUUUAAAAAAUACAUUUGGAGGCUGCUGAAUGCUUUGCAGCUAUGCCUCAAGUAGAGCUAACCGUUCCUAGCUGAGUUUAAGCUGAGUUUCAGAAGAUUUGGUUGGCUUUGGGUUAAUGUGAAAAAUAUUUUCUUCGAACUAGAUGGUUACCUUGAAAACUGUUCAUUUUCACAUUUGCACACGUCCUUUAUAAAGCAAGUCAAGAGACAUAAAGAAUCAUUAAAAUGCAGCUAUUUAUAAGAAAGCUUUGUAAAAAGCAUGCGGGGGGGGCCUCCACUAGCCCCCAGAUAACUCCUACUUUCUAAUAGGCCCCUCUGAAAUUCAAAACGAGCACACAAAACUCCAGAGGAAGCUUCUUUGCUCUGGAAAUAUUUACAUUUACCGGGUAGAGCAGACGGGCGGGUUUGGAUAUAUCGUCAUUCUCAGUUUAUUUGAAAAGAGUUUGAGAGGGGCGCCUGGGUGGCGCAGUCGGUUAAGCGUCCGACUUCAGCCAGGUCACGAUCUCGCGGUCCGUGAGUUCGAGCCCCGCGUCGGGCUCUGGGCUGAUGGCUCAGAGCCUGGAGCCUGUUUCCGAUGCUGUGUCUCCCUCUCUCUCUGCCCCUCCCCCGUUCAUGCUCUGUCUCUCUCUGUCCCAAAAAUAAAUAAACGUUGAAAAAAAAAAAAAUUUAAAAAAAAAAAAAAAGAAAAGAGUUUGAGAAUUUUAACUUCAGAAAGUUCUAUCGGGUAUUAGGGUGAAACACCAGUGACUAGCCUGCGACUGGGGCCCUCGCGGUCUGGGUUGAAUUCAACACGCCUUCUACGGGACUGUCCCCAUACGCCUUGUCAGAAAGGGGCUUCCCAAUCAAUAACACGGAACUCGUUCUUUCCCCUCCCUGUUUACGGAGCCAGAUUGCUCACGAGGGACAGCGCUUGUCUUGUACAACACCCAGGAAGUGCCCUCGAUCGCAAACACUGCCGCUCGACUGUGGCCUUGCUCAGUCCAUUGUGCUGUUGUGUUUUCUCAUGGGGACCGCUGGGCUAAUCCAGGCAAGCAUCUGCAAUUCUUAAACGGACAGUUCCAGGCUAGAGAAUUUAAGAGACAACCGAAUCGAGUUUUAAUGCCCUGUUAGAUAAUAAUGAAAGACAUUUAUGGAAAAAAAAGAAAUCCCAGUUAGUUUGAAAGCCCGGGCCCACACUCCGUAUUCUGACAGCAGAUGGAUGGCUACCUCAACUAAUCCCGGUUUACUUUGUGACUCGGAUUUGUCUCGCUGGUCCAGUGAGAUGGUGAGGGCUUCCUCCAAUCUGGUUAAUGCUCGGAACCAGUGUUUGAGUUUUAGACUAAUUAUGGGCCAAUAACUGACAUUUUUUUCUAUAAUGUGAAGACUGGUGCCAGCGGGAACUCAGUGAGAUUUAACAUAAAAGCAAGAUAAAACAAUUAAAGUGGAAGAAUAUUUGAUUAAGUGGACCGCUGAUUUAUAGUGGGGUAAAUUGAAAUUGAAAGGAGAGUGAACUUUUUAUGGCAAUCAUAUAUUACGUUCAUUAUCAGAGACUCUGGGUCUUUUGUGCUUCUGCGCUUU